rnacentral:tRNA from 4 species
UGGGGCGUCGCCAAGCUGGUAAGGCAUCGGACUUUGGAUCCGACAUUCGGAGGUUCGAAUCCUCCCGCCCCAGCCA